rnacentral:rRNA from 1 species
GACGUAGGGUGCGAGCGUUGUCCGGAUUUAUUGGGCGUAAAGAGCUCGUAGGCGGCUUGGCAAGUCGGGUGUGAAAACUCCAGGCUCAACCUGGAGAUGCCACUCGAGACUGCUAUGGCUAGAGUCCGGUAGGGGACCACGGAAUUCCUGGUGUAGCGGUGAAAUGCGCAGAUAUCAGGAGGAACACCGGUGGCGAAGGCGGUGGUCUGGGCCGGCACUGACGCUGAGGAGCGAAAGUGUGGGGAGCGAACAGG